UUGCUUGUUGGGGUUGUAGGACACUCUAUACGGAGUUACAAAGGACGACAUUAGACGAAUCAUCUGGAAAGAUGAAUCAAAGAAGGUAAUAAUCCUGUAGUCGAAAAUGUUGUCUCUCUUGAGUGGAUCCUGAGUACGACGGAGCACGUGAAAUUCCGUCGGAAUCUGGGAGGACCAUCUCCUAAGGCUAAAUACUCUCUAGUGACCGAUAGUGAACCAGUACCGUGAGGGAAAGGUGAAAAGCACCCCGGAAGGGGAGUGAAAUAGAACCUGAAACCGUGUGCUUACAAGUAGUCAGAGCCCGUUAAUGGGUGAUGGCGUGCCUUUUGUAGAAUGAACCGGCGAGUUACGAUUUGAUGCAAGGUUAAGCAGUAAAUGUGGAGCCGUAGCGAAAGCGAGUCUGAAUAGGGCGUUUAGUAUUUGGUCGUAGACCCGAAACCAGGUGAUCUACCCUUGGUCAGGUUGAAGUUCAGGUAACACUGAAUGGAGGACCGAACCGACUUACGUUGAAAAGUGAGCGGAUGAACUGAGGGUAGCGGAGAAAUUCCAAUCGAACCUGGAGAUAGCUGGUUCUCUCCGAAAUAGCUUUAGGGCUAGCCUCAAGUGAUGAUUAUUGGAGGUAGAGCACUGUUUGGACGAGGGGCCCCUCUCGGGUUACCGAAUUCAGACAAACUCCGAAUGCCAAUUAAUUUAACUUGGGAGUCAGAACAUGGGUGAUAAGGUCCGUGUUCGAAAGGGAAACAGCCCAGACCACCAGCUAAGGUCCCAAAAUAUAUGUUAAGUGGAAAAGGAUGUGGCGUUGCCCAGACAACUAGGAUGUUGGCUUAGAAGCAGCCAUCAUUUAAAGAGUGCGUAAUAG
rnacentral:rRNA from 1 species